UGGUGGAGCGAUUUGUCUGGUCAAUUCCGAUAACGAACGAGACUCUAGCCUACUAAAUAGUUCGGGGACCCCCACAAAGGGGCCCCGCUUCAACUUCUUAGAGGGACAGGUUGCGUUUAGCCACACGAGAUUGAGCAAUAACA
rnacentral:rRNA from 1 species